rnacentral:rRNA from 1 species
GCCGCGGUAAUACGUAGGGGGCAAGCGUUAUCCGGAAUCCUGGGCGUAAAGGGUCCGCAGGUGUCCCGUUAAGUUAGAUGUUAAAUCGCAAGGCUCAACCUUGCGGCUGCAUCUAAUACUGACAGGAUAGAGGAUAGGUGACGGAAGUGGAAUUCCUGGUGGAGAGGUAAAAUCCGUAGAUAUCAGGAGGAACACCCGUGGCGUAGGCGGCUUCCGAACCUAUUCCUGACACUCAGGGACGAAAGCUAGGGGAGCAAACAGGAUUAGAUACCCUGGUAGUCCUAGCUGUAAACGAUGAAUACUAGAUAGUGGGUGCUACACCGUACUCACCGUCGUAGCUAACGCGUUAAGUAUUUCGCCUGGGAACUACGAUCGCAAGUUUGAAACUCAAAGGAAUUGACGGGUCCCCGCACAAGCAGCGAGGCAUGUGGCUUAAUUCGAUGCAACACGAAGAACCUUACCUGGACUUGACAUGUUUCUGAAAGGCCGGAGAAACCCGGUCCCUUCCAGUUUACUGGAACAGUUUCACAGGUGGUGCAUGGUUGUCGUCAGCUCGUGUCGUGAGAUGUAAGGUUAAGUCCUUAAACGAGCGUAACCUUUGUCAUUAGUUGCCACCGGUUCGGCCGAGCACUCUAAUGAGACCGCUAGCGACAAGCUAGAGGAAGAUGGAGUUGACGUCAAAUCCUCACGUCCCUUAUGUCCAGGGCCGCACACAUGCGACAAUGGUAGAGACAGCGGGUUGCGACGGGGUAACCCUGAGCUAAUCCAUAAACUCUGCCUCAGUACAGAUCGAGGGCUGAAAUUCGACCUCGUGAAGAUGGAGUUGCUAGUAAACGCAGGUCAGCUGUACUGCGUUGAAUACGUUCCCGGGGAUUGCA